UACAUAGGGUGCAAACGUUGCUCGGAAUCAUUGGGCGUAAAGCGCGCGUAGGCGGUUACUUAAGUUGGAUGUGAAAGCCCUCGGCUUAACUGAGGAAGUGCAUCCAAAACUGAGUAGCUAGAGUACGAAAGAGGGUCGCGGAAUUCCCGGUGUAGAGGUGAAAUUCGUAGAUAUCGGGAGGAACACCGGUGGCGAAGGCGGCGACCUGGGUCGAGACUGACGCUGAGGCGCGAAAGCGUGGGGAGCGAACAGG
rnacentral:rRNA from 1 species